GAUGAACGCUGGCGGCGUGCCUAAUACAUGCAAGUCGAGCGAACGGACGAGAAGCUUGCUUCUCUGAUGUUAGCGGCGGACGGGUGAGUAACACGUGGAUAACCUACCUAUAAGACUGGGGUAACUUCGGGAAACCGGAGCUAAUACCGGAUAAUAUUUUGAACCGCAUGGUUCAAAAGUGAAAGACGGUCUUGCUGUCACUUAUAGAUGGAUCCGCGCUGCAUUAGCUAGUUGGUAAGGUAACGGCUUACCAAGGCAACGAUGCAUAGCCGACCUGAGAGGGUGAUCGGCCACACUGGAACUGAGACACGGUCCAGACUCCUACGGGAGGCAGCAGUAGGGAAUCUUCCGCAAUGGGCGAAAGCCUGACGGAGCAACGCCGCGUGAGUGAUGAAGGUCUUCGGAUCGUAAAACUCUGUUAUUAGGGAAGAACAUAUGUGUAAGUAACUGUGCACAUCUUGACGGUGCCUAAUCAGAAAGCCACGGCUAACUACGUG
rnacentral:rRNA from 1 species